rnacentral:rRNA from 1 species
UACGUAGGGUGCAAGCGUUGUCCGGAAUUAUUGGGCGUAAAAGAGCUCGUAGGCGGUUUGUCGCGUCGAAUGUGAAAACCCGGGGCUCAACCCCCGGGCCUGCAUUCGAUACGGGCAGACUAGAGUUCGGUAGGGGAGUCUGGAAUUCCUGGUGUAGCGGUGAAAUGCGCAGAUAUCAGGAGGAACACCGGUGGCGAAGGCGGGACUCUGGGCCGAUACUGACGCUGGAGGGAAGCGA